rnacentral:rRNA from 1 species
GACGAACCGUGCGAACGUUGUUCGGAUUCACUGGGCUUAAAGGGCGCGUAGGCGGUCGACCAAGUCUGGGGUGAAAUCUUUCGGCUUAACCGGAAAAGUGCCCCCGAUACUGGCCGGCUAGAGGGAGAUAGUGGCAUGUGGAACUUCCGGUGGAGCGGUGAAAUGCGUAGAUAUCGGAAGGAACGCCCGUGGCGAAAGCGAGGUCCUGGACGUUUUCUGACGCUGAGACGCGAAAGCUAGGGUAGCGAACGGG